GAUGAAGAACGUAGCGAAUUGCGAUAAGUAAUGUGAAUUGCAGAUUUUCAGUGAAUCAUCGAAUCUUUGAACGCACCUUGCGCUCCUUGGUAUUCCGAGGAGCAUGCCUGUUUGAGUGUCAUGAAAUUCUCAACCUUUUCAGCUUUCUUUGUUGAUCAGGCUUGGAUGUGGGAGUAUGCGGGCUUCUCAGAAGUCGGCUCUCCUGAAAUGCAUUAGCGGGACCUUUGUUGCCUGGCUUUGGUGUGAUAAUUAUCUACGCCAUUGUAGUCAAGCAGCUUAAAAUGAGGUUUCAGCUUCUAACCGUCUCCCCUGAGACAACUUUUUGACAAUUUGACCUCAAAUCAGGUAGGACUACCCGCUGAACUUAAGCAUAUCAAUAAGCGGAGGA
rnacentral:misc_RNA from 1 species